UCCAGACUCCUACGGGAGGCAGCAGUGGGGGAUAUUGCACAAUGGGGGGAACCCUGAUGCAGCGACGCCGCGUGGGUGAAGGAGUAUUUCGGUAUGUAAAGCCCUAUCGGCAGGGAAGAAGCAAGACGGUACCUGACUAAGAAGCCCCGGCUAACUACGUGCCAGCAGCCGCGGUAAUACGUAGGGGGCGAGCGUUAUCCGGAUUCACUGGGUGUAAAGGGAGCGUAGACGGCCAAGCAAGCCAGGGGUGAAAGCCCGGGGCCCAACCCCGGGACUGCCCUUGGAACUGCUUGGCUGGAGUGCGGGAGGGGCAGGCGGAAUUCCUGGUGUAGCGGUGAAAUGCGUAGAUAUCAGGAGGAACACCGGCGGCGAAGGCGGCCUGCUGGACCGCUACUGACGUUGAGGCUCGAAAGCGCGGGGAUCGAACAGGAUUAGAUACCCCGGUAA
rnacentral:rRNA from 1 species